ACUCCCUGAUACACUUCCUGGUGCUGACUUUCAUCUCAGAGUCUGCUCCCCGGAAGCUCGAAUUGUGACUCUUGGUACCAGGAGUGGGUGGACUCCAGAAAGCAGGCGCUAGGACGGGAUUCUGGAGUUGGACCGCGCUCUGCCGGCUGUGGCCGUGAGGACCCCUUCCCCCUUGGUAGGGGCAGCACCGCCCGCGGCACAAGGAGGAGAGCGAAGACCUGAGGAGAAGACGGUCACUAACAUCCAGCUGAGGUCUGGAAAACAGAGCAAAGGGAUCCCAGCCAUGGUUCCCUGACUGCUCAGCAGGAUGAGCUACGGGAGUUUCCUUCUCCAAAACACCAGAGAACAGACCGGAUGAAGUCGGAAGACUGUCGAGUGGAGACCAGGUCCCAAGAGUCCACUGUACUUUGGCCAGCAGGAUUUGAUGUGACAAUCAGGUUCCAUCAUGUCAACAAGGAAUGUCAAAUAUGUGUUUUAGUUGAGAACACAGGCUCAAGACUACAACACAGCCAUGAAAGCUGGAGUGGAACACAGCAGCCGGCCACUGUACAGAGACAUCUUCAGCAAACCCAGAAGGUUAAAACUUCAACAACAUUGUCUUCUGUUGACUGAAGAGGCAGCUCAAUAACAAUGGUCAUACCAACUUAUAUAUGCCAGCAAGGAGGGGGAGAAAACAUACGCUACAUGAUAUGAAAAUGUGUUAUGUGUUUCAUUUGGAAUGCAUACUGGAUUGUAAAGGUACUGAAAAACACAUGUUCAGUAUGGAAAAUCAUGUUUGACGUGUCCUAAUUUGAUUAUCAAGACAAGAAUUUCAAACUCUUAGUGUCUGUUAAAUUUACAUGUGCAGAUCUAAAAUAUAGUUGUUUUUUUUUGUGGCAUAUUCUCACACAUAACCACUGAAUUCCUAGGGUACUGUCUCUAGCUCCUUUAUGCUGCUUGCUGCCAGAAUAUUUCAUUAUUGAAUGAAUUAUUCAAGAUUUUUAAAAACUCACUGUAAUACAGCUAAGUACGUCUAUGUACAAUUGGAUAUAUUCUGAUAUGUAUUCUUUAGUUGGGUAUCAUAUACCUAUCAAUCAGUACAAUAUUGUUCUUAGGGGACCUCAUUUUUAUACAUUUUUGAGUUGACAGAUUGUAUCUCAGUAUGAGUUCCCAUGUUCCUUCAGCAUCUUCGCGAGGCUUCUCCCCAUUGGAAGGGUUCUCCACAGUACAACCUGGCUGCAGUCUCAGGGUUUAUCCCCGGUAUGAACCCUCUGAUGGACACUGAGUCGGGACUUCCUGCUGAAGGCCUUCCCACAUUCAGAACACUCAUAUGGUUUCUCUCCUGUGUGGAUUCGCAAAUGUAAUCUAAGAGUUGACCU